rnacentral:rRNA from 1 species
UACAGAGGGUGCAAACGUUGUUCGGAAUUACUGGGCGUAAAGCGCGUGUAGGCGGCAGGGCAAGUCGGAUGUGAAAUCCCGUGGCUCAACCACGGAAGUGCACCCGAAACUGCCCAGCUAGAGUCUCGGAGAGGAAGGUGGAAUGCUUGGUGUAGAGGUGAAAUUCGUAGAUAUCAAGCGGAACACCGGUGGCGAAGGCGGCCUUCUGGACGAUGACUGACGCUGAGACGCGAAAGCGUGGGGAGCAAACAGG